UGUUUUUGAAUUGUUUUUUCUCUUUGUGCUGAUUAAGCACUUUGUAGGUAAUUCGAUACUCUGCUGUGGCGACAUGAUAUAUUAUGUAAUACUGAACAAUGAAUCUGAAAAUUUUUAGGGAAUUAAAUGUCUGCUAACCACGACAAUUACCUGGAUGCCGAGUUCUAUCAUAUCAGUCUUUGCAUGUUUGAUAGUUCUUUGACUUUUUGUUUUUGGUAGUAUGAAGAUGGACACCUCUCUGAGUCUGGUCUGCUUGAGGUUUCUUCUUAUAAAUAAAAAAAUAUGUCCAAGGGAGUUCUUCCUUACUACUGUUGCCUUUGUGCUUGUUCAGGGGAGGGGCAAAGGUUAGACUAUAUGUAUCCCAAUGAAGUUGUGAUUUGACGCUAUAUCAAACAAACUGAAUCAACUCCCGUGGCUCACAUCAAAGAUUGUCAUCUUGCUGAAAAAUAAGAUUAUCAAACACAAGUAUUAUUGUGUCUGCAACAACUAGUUUAAAGAGAGGAAGUAGUAGUAGUACGUCCUACUAAGGCCCUG